GAGAGUUCUGGCGAGGGCUGCGGGAAGGAAAGGGGGCGGCGUCCUUCACAGGGAGGGUGCAGCUGACCUCCCUCCCCUUGUGCAGACUGGAAAAGAAUGGCCCAGAUCCUCUGGACUCCUCAGAUGAGCGGAUUCAGAGAGAAGCUUUUGAGAGCGUGCUGGCGGAGACAUUUUUCACAAAAGAGCCCUUGCGGUGCUGGUGUCCGUGGCGUGCCUGGGUGGAAAAUGAGCUUAUAUAUGAAGAAGUCAGCGAGUGGACAAAGCCAGGCGCAAUGGAUAGCAAAGAUGUGGAAGUCUCCUCGAUUCAAGUUACAAGAAAACCGCAGCAUGGAGUCUGCUCUCAGCUGUUGGGGAAUUACCGAUGCCUUUGACUAAGUCAAGACUGACUUUUCCAGAAUAUCACCCAAGAGAUAGAGCCGUCCCUGUCCAAGUUUGUGCGCUAGCCCUUCAUGGAGGUCAGAGAGGAAGAAACAAAGGCAGCUGUGGCCUCGGCGGUCACAGUGUCAGAACGCACAAGCCCCAUAAAGAGGUUUCACGCAGGCCACCCAUCCCUUUUCAUUCUCCAGCAGAACAGGACAGAGAGCGUUCUGUUCUGCGGAAGGUCUUCCACUCUACAAGGCAAUCCCUCCAGCUGCUUUGCUGUAUUGUGCUGUCUCCUGUCACACUAUGAAUGCAGUGACCUCAGCCAGCAACAGGGAGAACCCCCCUGCCUCCCGAACAAAGGACCUCACGUGAAAUCCUGAGCUCAGAGCUUACAGAUAUGUGUGCGCUUUCACUUUACAUCGGCCGUGACUUCCAAACAACUUCAGGAAACUUUAGGAUCUCUGAGGUAUACUGGAGAUGACAGCAGCGUAGAAUGUUCAUUUGGAUUUAGAACAGAAAUGCUUAUUUUAUAUUUGGCUGCUCCCAAACUGUCCCCAGACUUCCUCUCCAGUGGUUACCCUCCACUGCCCUGGAUGUCCCACGUUUACACUCCACACUCA
rnacentral:lncRNA from 1 species